CUUCUUUUUGAACCAGAAACCAUUUCAUUUGAAACAGCUUUAUUUAAACUGCACUUAUUUAUGCUUCUUGCUUUCCUUUUCAUUUACGUUUUCUUUUCUGUGCUCAUGGGAAACAUAGAUGUUCUCUACCUCACAGAAACAUUGCAAAUGCUUUGUAAGAAGGCCACUUUCAAUCUGUCUCAGUCGUGGCAACAGCACGGUGAAUAGGCCUGGUAACGUGGACUGGUGGCAGUGACGUCGGAGAUGAUGUUGGAUUCCCGGAGGCUUUUGCAUCGACAAGAUAGUCCCGGCAUUGACUCAUGGCUGCUGUACCGGAGGUGCUGCAGUGACAGGAGAAAGGUUCAAAAUGAUCUAACUUGGGAGACAGGCCAUUCAGCCCAACAAGUCCACACUGACUCACCCCCCUACAUUUCCCAUGGCUAAUCUACCGAAUCCACACAUCCUUGGACUGUGGGAGGAAACUGGAACACUCAGAGAAAGCCCACACGGAUAUAAGGAGAACUUGCAAACUCCGCACAGUCACCUGAGGAUGGAAUCGAACCCAGGUCCCUGGCAUUGGAAGGCAACAGUGCUAAGCACUGAGCCCAUUAUAUGCUCCAGACAGUGGAAUCUCAAAAAAAGGACAUGUCUGGGAUCAAGAAAUUGCCCUAGAACUAAACUGUAGCAAGCUCCACAUGUAUAUCAAUAAACAAAGCUUU